rnacentral:rRNA from 1 species
AGAGUUUGAUCCUGGCUCAGGAUGAACGCUAGCGGCAGGCCUAAUACAUGCAAGUCGAACGGUAGUUUCAAUUUAUUGGAAUGAGAGUGGCGCACGGGUGCGUAACGCGUAUGCAACCUACCUUAUACAGGGGGAUAGCCCGAAGAAAUUCGGAUUAAUACCGUAUAAUAUAUCUAAGUUGCCUAAUUAAGAUAUUAAAGAUUUAUUGGCAUAAGAUGGGCAUGCGUGACAUUAGCUAGAUGGUAAGGUAAUGGCUUACCAUGGCAACGAUGUCUAGCGGGUCUGAGAGGAUGAUCCGCCACACUGGUACUGAGACACGGACCAGACUCCUACGGGAGGCAGCAGUAGGGAAUAUUGGACAAUGGGCGAGAGCCUGAUCCAGCCAUGCCGCGUGCAGGAAGAAUGCCCUCUGGGUUGUAAACUGCUUUUAUACGAGAAGAAACGAUUGCUUGCGAGCGAUUCUGACGGUAUUGUAUGAAUAAGCACCGGCUAACUCCGUGCCAGCAGCCGCGGUAAUACGGAGGGUGCAAGCGUUAUCCGGAUUUACUGGGUUUAAAGGGUACGUAGGCGGAUUUGUAAGUCAGUGGUGAAAGCCUGCAGCUCAACUGUGGAAUUGCCAUUGAAACUGUGAAUCUAGAGUAUAGAGGAAGUAAGCGGAAUAAGUCAUGUAGCGGUGAAAUGCAUAGAUAUGACUUAGAACACCGAAAGCGAAGGCAGCUUACUGUUCUAUAACUGACGCUGAGGUACGAAAGCGUGGGUAGCGAACAGGAUUAGAUACCCUGUAGUCCACGCUGUAAACGAUGAUACUCGUUGUUGGGUGCAAACUCAGCGACCAAGCGAAAGCGUUAAGUAUUCCACCUGGGGAGUACGGUCGCAGAUUAAACUCAAAGGGAUUGACGGG